rnacentral:rRNA from 1 species
AAUGAACGUUGGCGGCGUGGAUUAGGCAUGCAAGUCGAACGCUUUAUGUAGCAAUACAUGAAGAGUGGCGUAAGGGAGAGUAAUCCAUGGUUAGCUACCCUCGGGUCUGGGAUAGCGGCGGGAAACUGCCGGUAAUACCAGAUGACAUCUUCGGAUCAAAGGUGUGAUUCCGCCCGAGGAGGCGACCAUGUCCUAUCAGCUAGUUGGCGGUGUAACGGACCACCAAGGCUAAGACGGGUAUGGGGCGUGAGAGCGUGCCCCCACUCACUGGGACUGAGACACUGCCCAGACACCUACGGGUGGCUGCAGUCGAGAAUCUUCGGCAAUGGGCGCAAGCCCGACCGAGCGACGCCGCGUGCGGGAUGAAGGCCUUCGGGUUGUAAACCGCUGUCGUAGGGGAGGAAGCGACCGUGAAGAACGGAAGUUGACCGAUCCUAGGAGGAAGCGCCGGCUAAUCUCGUGCCAGCAGCCGCGGUAACAC